GGCAAGUUGUCCUUGGCU
rnacentral:siRNA from 1 species